rfam:Schistosoma mansoni, Puerto Rico, WGS project CABG01000000 data, contig: 0071
GCACUGCUGAGGAGUUGCACAAUAGGACGGAACGACCGUCCAGUGC